ACAGUGAGAUAGCUGCCUAGUGGAAAUGAAUAAUAUCCCAGCCACUAGUGUACAGGGUGUUUUGUGGCACAGGAUUAUGUAAUAUGGAACUGCUCAAGCAAAUAACUAGUCAUCACAACAGCAGUUCUUUGUAAUAACUGAAAAAGAAUAUUGUUUCUCGGAGAAGGAUGUCAAAAGAUCGGCCCAGCUCAGGGAGCAGUUUGCCCUACUAGCUCCUCGGACAGCUGUAAAGAAGAGUCUCUGGCUCUUUAGAAUACUGUAAGUACUACUUCGUAGCUAUUAAGUAAUCUUUUUCCUAUUCUAUUUUCUUUCUCUUAGAUGCCACCUAUAGAAAAGUCAGAGGGUCCAGAUCCCAUUGAAGAUACCACGCUGCAUGUGUCCUUAGUAGUCAUGUCUCCUUAGGCUCCUCUUGGACAUUCUGAGCAUGUGAGACCUGAGGACUGCAAACAGCUAUAAGAGGCUCCAAAUUAAUCAUAUCUUUCCCUUUGAGAAUCUGGCCAAGCUCCAGCUAAUCUACUUGGAUGGGUUGCCAGCUAUCUGGAGAAAAAGAUCUUCCUCAGAAGAAUAGGCUUGUUGUUUUACAGUGUUAGUGAUCCAUUCCCUUUGACGAUCCCUAGGUGGAGAUGGGGCAUGAGGAUCCUCCAGGGGAAAAGCUCACUACCACUGGGCAACAACCCUAGGUCAGGAGGUUCUGUCAAGAUACUUUCCUGGUCCCAGAUAGGAAGAUAAAGUCUCAAAAACAACCACCACACGUCAAGGAGAACAUGGACAACUGUCACAUCAGUGACAUUGAUCACAUGGGCAAAUCAUUCUGUUCCAUGUGGUCCCCAAAGUCUCUCUUAAAGCCUUACAGAAGAACUUUGCCAAUCAUUUACAUACUUCAGGAUGGCUUGGGAUGCCAUGGUGUAUAAUACAACAAGUGAGAGCUCUUCAUUGUUCCUAUCUGCCAAAUCAUUAUACUUCCUACAAGCAGUGCAGAGAGCUGAGUCUUCAGCAGGUCCAAGAAAUUUGAACACACUGAAGGAAGUCAGCCUUCCCACCUGAAGAUCAACAUGCCUGGCACUCUAGCACUUGAGGAUAGCUGAAUGAAUGUGUCUUACCCAUUUCCAUGUUUCUCUUGCUAAUUUCUUUCGUGUGUGCCUUUGCCUCAUUUUCUCUUUUUGUUCACAAGAGUGGUCUGUGUCUUGUCUUAGACAUAUCUCUCAUUUUUCAUUUUGUUGCUAUUUCUCUUUGCUCUCCUAGAUGUGGCUCUUCUUUCACGCUUUAUUUCAUGUCUCCUUUUUGGGUCACAUGCUGUGUGCUUUUUGUCCUUUUCUUGUUCUGUCUACCUCUCCUUUCUCUGCCUACCUCUCUUUUCUCUUUGUGAACUGUGAUUAUUUGUUACCCCUUCCCCUUCUCGUUCGUUUUAAAUUUCACCUUUUUUCUGAGUCUGGCCUCCUUUCUGCUGUUUCUACUUUUUAUCUCACAUUUCUCAUUUCUGCAUUUCCUUUCUGCCUCUCUUGGGCUAUUCUCUCUCUCCUCCCCUGCGUGCCUCAGCAUCUCUUGCUGUUUGUGAUUUUCUAUUUCAGUAUUAAUCUCUGUUGGCUUGUAUUUGUUCUCUGCUUCUUCCCUUUCUACUCACCUUUGAGUAUUUCAGCCUCUUCAUGAAUCUAUCUCCCUCUCUUUGAUUUCAUGUAAUCUCUCCUUAAAUAUUUCUUUGCAUAUGUGGGCAAGUGUACGUGUGUGUGUGUCAUGUGUGGCAGAGGGGCUUCCUAACCCCUGCCUGAUAGGUGCAGAACGUCGGCUAUCAGAGCAAGCAUUGUGGAGCGGUUCCUUAUGCCAGGCUGCCAUGUGAGAUGAUCCAAGACCAAAACAAGGCCCUAGACUGCAGUAAAACCCAGAACUCAAGUAGGGCAGAAGGUGGAAGGCUCAUAUGGAUAGAAGGCCCAAAGUAUAAGACAGAUGGUUUGAGACUUGAGACCCGAGGACUAAGAUGGAAAGCCCAUGUUCCAAGAUAGAUAGAAGCCUCAGGCCUGAAACCAACAAAAGCCUCAAGAGCCAAGAAAACAGAGGGUGGCCUGAAUUGGACCGAAGGCCUGAGUUGGAUGGAAGUCUCAAGGCUUGAGUUAGAAGUCUUAAGACCUGGGACAGGACACAUGGAAGGCCUAAGAACUGAGACUUGUGACACAAGGCCAACGACCUAAGAUUAGCCCAGGGUUGUAGCUGGAAGACCUACAACCCAAGGAUGGAAGGCCCCUGUCACAAAGCCUACCUAGAUGGAUAGAGGACCCAAGCGAAAAAGGUAUCUCAAGACUAACGGCCGGAAUCUGGAGGCCCAUGACCCAGAACCCAGGAAGGAUAGAAGCUUGAAGACCUGGGGAAAUCCCAAGAUGAGAACCCUAAACCCUACCUCUUUUCUAUUGUUUACACUUCUUACUCUUAGAUAUUUCCAGUUCUCCUGUUUAUCUUUAAGCCUGAUUCUUUUGAGAUGUACUUUUUGAUGUUGCCGGUUACCUUUAGAUUGACAGUAUUAUGCCUGGGCCAGUCUUGAGCCAGCUUUAAAUCACAGCUUUUACCUAUUUGUUAGGCUAUAGUGUUUUGUAAACUUCUGUUUCUAUUCACAUCUUCUCCACUUGAGAGAGACACCAAAAUCCAGUCAGUAUCUAAUCUGGCUUUUGUUAACUUCCCUCAGGAGCAGACAUUCAUAUAGGUGAUACUGUAUUUCAGUCCUUUCUUUUGACCCCAGAAGCCCUAGACUGAGAAGAUAAAAUGGUCAGGUUGUUGGGGAAAAAAAAGUGCCAGGCUCUCUAGAGAAAAAUGUGAAGAGAUGCUCCAGGCCAAUGAGAAGAAUUAGACAAGAAAUACACAGAUGUGCCAGACUUCUGAGAAGCACCUGCCAGCAACAGCUUCCUUCUUUGAGCUUAGGUGAGCAGGAUUCUGGGGUUUGGGAUUUCUAGUGAUGGUUAUGGAAAGGGUGACUGUGCCUGGGACAAAGCGAGGUCCCAAGGGGACAGCCUGAACUCCCUGCUCAUAGUAGUGGCCAAAUAAUUUGGUGGACUGUGCCAACGCUACUCCUGGGUU
ensembl:lncRNA XIST X inactive specific transcript